rnacentral:misc_RNA from 1 species
CACGUAAAAAAGACAACUUUCCUGCACCAGACUUGACUUGUUAAAAAUAGAAAAGAAUGAAGAUAGAAGGAAAAGGACCAGAACAAUGAAUCCGGAAAUGAUCAUUGCCCCCAACCUCACAUCCUCAAAUUCACAUAGGCAAAUACACCAGUAUUCUGUUGUGCCCCUCCUGGGCCUCCCUCAAUAUCCCAAUGGAAACACACACAUAAAUGGCAAUUAUCAACAAAUUAAAAUUACCAUAGGUCUCAGCAUGAACUACACCAAAAUUAAUUCAGGAACCAAAUAAAAAGAGAUUCACAUGAGAAGUUUAAGAAGAAUAAAGAAAACUAUAAUUCACUAAAAAUAGGAAAGGUGCCUCCUUUUGGAGUAAGACAGGUUAAUCUAAUUGGAAUCUUUCCAAAAUAGCAAUUCAUUUAGCAUAAAGGAGCAUUGAAGACAGGUAGAAAUGCCAACCUUUGAUCUAAUAGCAAUGAAUUCUAUCGAUCAUGGUAGCCUCCACAGCCUAAUACUACUGUCCUAAGAAGCCAUGGCAACAAUUUUUUUAACAUUGCCACCUGAACAAAUGUACUUCUAUUUACACAUUUCAAUAAAACAAGUAAACGCCUUUAACAGGUCUCAACCAAAUUCACAAUAAAUGGUGAUGGAUUCAACCCUACUAAACACAAUUAAUGUUCAAUUCAAAACCUUCACUCUGAAAAAUACAUUAACAAUCCAAAAAAUUCACAACAUCAAAAGAAAAUAGAAAGAGACAUUACAUUUUCUUAUACAAGCUUCAUUGAGUCAAACAAAUAUCACAAAAGCAAAAAUGCAAAAGAAAUAAAAAAUAAAAAAUAAAAAGAAUGCAAUCAUGUUCAAUGCUUAGCAAUGUCCACAAAAUCUAAGUUGCAGACAAAGCAUUUUAGAGCAAUCACAGAACCCAUCCGUCCUCAACGCAAUUCUUAAGUAAAGUCAGUUGCUCUCAAUUGCAUCCUCACAUUCUAGAACCUUUAACCCCUCGUAAAAAGCUCACAUGACAAGAAACUGGAAAUGCCCAACAUUGUCGUCGAGUUAUACGACAAGACUAGGCACAGU